CGCCGCUGGCUGGUUGACAACUUGACAGAUUUGAUAUGGCUCCCAUUCGUGUGUCACUCAACUCAGCCCGAAACGCGACACCAGAUGAUUGCCAUGCUUUCUCUGGGGGCAACAAUGGACGAGAGAAACACAAAUAAAAACAUCCAUCCAUCCAUCUUCUUCCGCUGAGCUGAGGUCGAGUUGCAGGGAUAGUAGCUUUAGCAGGGACGCCCCCCUCUCCCCAGCCACUUCAUCCGGCUCUUACGGGGGGAUCCCGAGGCACUCCGAGGCCAGCUGGGAGACAUAGUCUCUCCAGUGUGUCCUGCGUCGUCCCCGGGGUCUCCUCCCAGUGGGACAUGUCCGGAACACCUCACCAGGGAGGUGUCCGGGAGGCAUGGAGGAGGAUGCCGGUCCAACCUGGCAGGCCCAAACGUAUCGUGAGGGUCUGCUGGGAACGUCUGGCAGAAUCCCCUGUCAGAAGGAGUUUCAACUCCCACCUCCCGGGGGGAGGCGGGGGACAUUGAAUCCGAGUCACGGUUGACACGCCUCUGCAACAUCACAUGGACAUCGGGGACAGUGCCUGUGGAUUGUCAGACUGGGGUGGUGGUCCCCCUUUUUAAAAAGGGAAGGUGAUACCGCUUGCCACGUUGACCCAUUUCCACGGUCCUUCGUGACUGUUACCAUGAUAACUCUUUGUGUUUCUCCCCCCACCAGUUGCAGUUUCCUGACCGCGGCCGCGAAUUGGUUGUGCGGUUGCUAGGUUAACGGACCACGCCACCACCGCCCUGCUGCACUACCAACUGCCGCAGAUGCCCGAGCGCACGUGGUCGUGCGCUCCUUCAUGGGCGGAAAAUACCAAACUGCAGCAAGCGCCAGCUCACGCUUGCUCACGUGCACUUGGCUGAGGAGCUACAUCGAACUGUUCCAGUCUCCGUGCCAGCGAUGCGGCCAAUUCCUCCAGGACGGACUUCCUCCAAAAUGGAGGGACUUUAGGACCUUGGAGGCCAUCCACGACACCUGCCGCAUGUGACCCGUGACCCGAAGCCCGUGCACACUCUCGGUCGUGCUGUUAUUGCAACAUUUUGUUAGAGUGCCGUCGGCGUUGACGCAUCGCCAUCUUCGGGUGGUCUGCAAUCUUCAUCCUCCUCAUCCUUACGAUGGCAAAGGUUAAACGUUCCCUGAUGGAUUUGAACCAGGGCUAAUGAGGAAACUGUCGUCGUCUUCAUCCACAUGGUGACCUUCCUGACUUAAGUAUUCUUUAUACUCGCGCGGACGGGGACCACGCUGACGUCGCUGCGGCUAUACUCGAGUGGAACCCACUUGCGCAAUUUUGAAAAUGUACUGCAGUUCACCUCCAAGAUGACAAGAUGAUACAUUUAAUUAUGCUGCUUAAUCGAUCAAGAAGGCGGUGGCGUAGAUGGUAUGUAGUACCACAGCAUGUGACUAAAACGGACCAAUCACGAGAGAUGAUCUCUGCAGUGUUCUUCGCGCAGCAACAAUUUUUGCCAUGUGCGCGUCAAGCGACGCAGAGGGGCCGCGCAGGCCAAUUCGUCGGUCACGUGAUGCAAUGCGGGCGUUGUCGGCCACGCCAGCACGGGAGUAUAAAGAGGCUUUUAUUGAUGAAGAUCAAUUAGCGAGCAUCGUGCUGCUUUGGGCGUCGUGCCUGAACGCGACUUGCCUGUCGCGAACUUCCAGACUGGAGGCUGUGUUCCAACUACAGGGGGAUCACACUCCUCGGGAUCCCUGGUAUGGUCUAUUCAGGGGUGCUUGAGAGGAGGGACAGUCGGGAAGUCGAAUCUCAGAUUCAGGAGGAGCAGUGUGGUUUUCGUCCUGACCGUGGAACAGUGGACCAGCUCUUCACCCUCGACAGGGUCCUCGAGGGUGCAUGGGAGUUUGAACCCCCCUGAUACCCCCCUGAUACGGGGGUUCGGUCCCUGUACGACCGAUGUCAGAGUUUGGUCCGCAUUGCCGGCAAUAAGUCAGACACGUUUCCGGUGAGGGUUGGAGUCCGCCAAGGCUGCCCUUCGGUUGUCACCGAUUCUGUUCAUAACAUUUAUGGGCAGAAUUUCUAGGUGCAGCCGAGGCGUUGUUGGGGUCCGGUUUGGUGGCCUCAGUAUUGCAUCUCUGCUUUUUGCAGUUGGAGUGAGGCAAAUUGAUUUUGGAGGGAUGUGAGAGCUUGUGAGAAGUCACAUACCUUUUGAAUCAGAAGGGUGAGGGCUUGGUCGUGUUGCUCCUAAAGCAUGCUCUGUCCGGUAACUGUUUGGCGAAGGGGAUCCGUCUCCGCUGGGUCCAUGACAGGCCAGACUAUGCUAUGAGGAUUCAGGUUGUAAGUUGGACCCAGAUGCAGAGAGGACAGGGAGGUGAGUUUGUGAAUAAAGGUUUAUUGCAGCUUGGAAGCGAACAAAGGAACUCCGAGAACUAAAUACGGGAUUGGCAGGGUUCCAACGAGGACCGGUCUGGCAGGGUAGGAGUCCGCGUUGUCGGUGGGCCGCAAGAGGUGAGCACUGGUUCGCAGUGAGCAAGGGCAGAUGGCAGACUAGGGACAAAGAACAAGAAUUAGGUAGAGGUAACUCACUAGGUCUUCAGGAAGCAAAAAGAUAGGCAAGGUGGCUAGGCUACGAACUCGCCGUAGAGCGUUGAUCGUCUGGCGACGAGUUGGAGUCCCAGUGAGGGAAAAAUAUUUUUAUCAAAGUUAAAAAGGGACACAUUGUCUUGGAGAAACUUACUUGAACACAAAUGUAGAAAACAGUUUUAAUCAAAAAGUAUUUAAUGAUAAAUCCAUAAGUCCUACAGUUAACAUAUUAAUGUAAUUUUAUGUCGUUGUCUAUAGAGCAAUCCCUAAACAUUUUUACAUGCAGUAAAUAACGUGCUUGCGGCUAACUGAACAAAAGAUGAGUUCACUGAAUGACUUAACGUGGUGGAAAUGAAGGGCAGCAAUUGGACUGCUGUCAUAUUUUAAAGCUGAAAAAAUGCAUUUGAUGAUGUUAAUAUUGCAACAUUUGAUUUAUCUGAGCCAUUGUAUGUUUCCUGCAAGGGAUGGACGGUCAGUUGGGUUUGGGCCUGGGCCGGAUCUUCAUUUCGGUGAAUCUCAGAGAAUACUGCCAGCCAGUCCAACUGGACCACUCCACGCCGUCGGCGUAAGAUGCGUGGCCUCCGCCUAGGUACUGCCCGUUCAGGUUGGACGUAUGACAGUUGCGGUACCACCAGGCGCCCUGGUAGUACGUAGCGCAGUUGUUCUCCGACUGGUCCUGGUCGCGGUCUUUGGUGGUGAACUGCAUCCCAGAAUGCUUCAGGAGCGAAUCACCUGGAGGACACACAAACUUUCAUUCGUCUUUCCGUAUGCCCGAGUACUCGGCCCCAAUUGGGCUUUUCGUUGUUGGUCCCUAGUGAGAAUUGUGUUGUUUGGAGUUGGUACCUGCGGUUCCUGAGUAGCGGUCCACCGUGAGCGGGUAUCCGUCCUCUUCGGGGUUGACCGAGUCUCGGCCCACGGAGAAUUCAGCGUAAUGCGCGAAGGCUGUCGCAUUUUCAAAGUCGGCCAUGUCGAUUCGCAACUCGUAACCGCCUGACCGUGUCAGAGCGGAAAUCCUCUGCAGGCCUGAACAGACACGCACACACAUACACGAACACACGCGAACACACUCAUGUGGUCAACCUGCCAACAAAGUGUGUCAAGUAAAUAAACACUUUUUUUUUUUUUCAAAAACCAAAUCCCUCAAAAGGACACAAGACAGCUCCAGGUUAACAUGUUUUACUUGGCGCACAGUGGCCCCUAACUUCAAGUUUUGGGGGCACACACUCUACAUGGACUUGCAAAUUGAAUAUUCACAUUUUCACUGUAUUACUGAUAAAUACUUCAUUAAUGCAGAAAGUACGUUUUAAAUUCCCAUUUUACUGUGCAAGGUUUGACGCAUAAUAACCAAGGUCUACAGCUGAAAUAGUAAAAAUGAAAAAAAAAAAAAAAAAAAUGGACUAUGGCCUGUCUUCUUCUUUUUCUGGAGUUAAUGGAAAACCAGCUCAUCUGUGCGUCAUCGCAAAC